rnacentral:rRNA from 1 species
GCCAGACUCCUACGGGAGGCAGCAGUGGGGAAUAUUGCACAAUGGGGGAAACCCUGAUGCAGCGACGCCGCGUGAGUGAAGAAGUAUUUCGGUAUGUAAAGCUCUCUCAGCAGGGAAGAAAAUGACGGUACCUGACUAAGAAGCCCCGGCUAACUACGUGCCAGCAGCCGCGGUAAUACGUAGGGGGCAAGCGUUAUCCGGAUUUACUGGGUGUAAAGGGAGCGUAGACGGCAUGGCAAGUCAGAUGUGAAAGCCCGGGGCUCAACCCCGGGACUGCAUUUGGAACUGUCAGGCUGGAGUGCAGGAGAGGUAAGUGGAAUUCCUAGUGUAGCGGUGAAAUGCGUAGAUAUUAGGAGGAACACCAGUGGCGAAGGCGGCCUACUGGACUGUAACUGACGUUGAGGCUCGAAAGCGUGGGGAGCAAACAGGAUUAGAUACCCUUGUAC